rnacentral:lncRNA from 1 species
AUGCAAAAAAGCAAAAUGGUUGUCUGGGGAGGCCUUAGAAAUAGCUGUGAAAAGAAGAGAGGCGAAAGCAAAGGAGAAAAGGAAAGAUAUAAGCAUCUGAAUGCAGAGUUCCAAAGAAUAGCAAGAAGAGAUAAGAAAGCCUUCUUCAGCAAUCAGUGCAAAGAAAUAGAGGAAAAGAACAGAAUGGGAAAGACUAGAGAUCUCUUCAAGAAAACUAGAGAUACCAAGGGAAUAUUUCAUGCAAAGAUGGGCUCCAUAAAGGACAGAAAUGGUAUGGACUUAACAGAAGCAGAAGAUAUUAAGAAGAGGUGGCAAGAAUACACAGAAGAACUGUACAAAAAAGAUCACGACCCAGAUAGUCACGAUGGUGUGAUCACUCAUCUAGAGCCAGACAUCCUGGAAAGUGAAGUCAAAUGGGCCUUAGAAAGCAUUACUAUGAACAAAGCUAGUGGAGGUGAUGGAAUUCCUAUUGACCUAUUUCAAAUCCUAAAGGAUGAUGCUGUGAAAGUGCUGCACUCAAUAAGCCAGCAAAUUGGGAAAACUCAGCAGUGGCCACAGGACUGGAAAAGGUCAGUUUUCAUUCCAAUCCCAAAGAAAGGCAAUGCCAAAGAAUGCUCAAACUACCACACAAUUGCACUAAUCUCACAUGCUAGUAUAGUAAUGCUCAAAAUUCUCCAAGCCAGGCUUCAGCAAUACGUGAACCGUGAACUCCCUGAUGUUCAAGCUGGUUUUAGAAAAGGCAGAGGUUACGGAGAUCAAAUUGCCAACAUCCGCUGGAUCAUGGAAAAAUCAAGAGAGUUCCAGAAAAACGUCUAUUUCUGCUUUAUUGACAAUGCCAAAGCCUUUGACUGUGUGGGUCACAAUAAACUGUGGAAAAUUCUGAAAGAGAUGGGAAUACCAGACCACCUGACCUGCCUCUUGAGAAAUCUGUAUACAGGUCAGGAAGCAACAGUUAGAACUGGAAAUGGAACAACAGACUGGUUCCAUAUAGGAAAAGGCAUAUGUCUUGGCUGUAUAUUGUCACCCUGCUUAUUUAACUUCUAUGUGGGAUACAUCAUGAGAAACGCUGAGCUGGAAGAAGCACAAGCUGGAAUCAAGAUUACCAGGAGAAAUCUCAGUAACCUCAGAUAUGCAGAUGACACCACUCUUAUGGCAGAAAGUGAAGAGGAACUAAAAAGCCUCUUGAUGAAAGUGAAAGUGGAGAGUGAAAAAGAUGGCUUAAAGCUCAACAUUCAGAAAACGAAGAUCAUGGCAUCUGGUCCCAUCACUUCAUGGGAAAUAGAUGGGGAAACAGUGGAAACAGUGUCAGACUUUAUUUUUUGGGGCUCCAAAAUCACUGCAGAUGGCGACUUCAGCCAUGAAAUUAACAGAUGCUUACUCCUUGGAAGAAAAGUUAUGACUAAUCUAGAUAGUAUAUUCAAAAGCAGAUACAUUACUUUGCUGACUAAGAUCUGUCUAGUCAAGGCUAUGGUUUUUCCUGUGGUCACGUAUGGAUGUGAGUGUUGGACUGUGAAGAAGACUGAGUGCCGAAGAAUUGAUGUUUUUGAAGUGUGGUGUUGGAGAAGGCUCUUGAGAGUCCCUUGGACCUCAAAGAGUUGCAACCAGUCCAUUCUGAAGGAGAUCAGCCCUGGGAUUCCUUUGGAAGGAAUGAUGCUAAAGGUGAAACUCCAGUACUUUGGCCACCUCAUGUGA